CGCACCUAAAAGCGUUUUCUUGUACGCUAACAUAUGCGCUUGAAAAUCGUAGUUGUGUGCCAAAGCACAGUCCAGUCGCAAGUGACUUUAGAAGGUUACUACUAUAGUCCCAAAAAGUCUGGCUACAAUA